GGGCAAUAAACAGCUACGCCCUGCCAGUAAUCAGAUACCCUGCAGGAAUAAUAAGCUGGCCAAAGGAUGAGAUACAGACCACAGAUGUUAAGACACCAAAGCUCCUAACCAUGCACGGAGGGUUCCACCCCAAAUCCAGCACCCUGAGACUGUACGCUAGCCGUAAGGAAGGAGGCCGAGGACUAGUGAGUGUGAGAGCCACUAUCCAGGAUGAAACAUCUAAGAUCCAUAAGUACAUCAAGGACAAGGCUCCAACAGAUGACGUGCUCAGUGAAUGUCUCAGACAAUGGGGAACAGAAGAUGAGGUGCUGGAGGUUCCAUCAUGAGAGGACAAGCCCCUACAUGGGAUGUACCACCCAAACAUAACUGAAGUGGUGGAUAUCAGGAAAUGGUACCAAUGUCUAGACAGAGCCGGACUAAAGGACAGCACAGAGACACUCAUCAUGGCUGCACAGGAGCAGGCCUUGAGCACCAGAGCAAUAGAGGCCCAGAUCUACCACACCAGACUAGACCCCAGGUGUAGACUGUGCAAAGAGGCCAAUGAGACAAUCCAGCACAUAACUGCAGGGUGUAAGAUGCUGGCAGGGAAAGCUUACAUGGAGCUCCAUAACCAAGUGACUGGUAUAGUGUACAGGAACAUCUGUGCAGAGUAUGGGCUGGAAACCCCAAGGUCAAAGUGGGAAACACCUCCAAAGGUGGUAGAGAAUGACCGAGCUAAGAUCCUGUGGGACUUCCAGAUACAGACGGACAGAAUGGUAAUGGAGAACCAACCAGACAUUGUGGUGGUGGACAAAGAGCAGAGGAAAGCCGUUGUGGUUGUCAUAGCAACACCGAGUGACUGCAACAUCAGGAAAAAGGAACAUGAGAAACUAGAGAAAUACCAGGGGCUCAGAGAAGAGUUGGAGAAAACCUGGAGGGUGAAGGCAUCAGUGGUGCCCGUGGUCAUUGGGGCACUCGGGGCAGUGACCCCCAAACUGGAGGAGUGGCUCCAGCAGAUCCCAGGAAAUACAUCAGACAUCUCAGUCCAGAAAAGUGCAGUUC
rnacentral:lncRNA from 1 species